UAUGCAAAUGAAACCGACUUUUGAAACAUAUUCCUCCCACUCCCCUGCCCCAAAAGCCUUCAGAGCAAGCUGGAACCUUGGCACCUCGUGCCUGAACGGAGUCAUACGCAGCCAGCCCAACACCGGUCGGGUGGCAGGGGCCGCAGCUACGCUGGCCGCCUCUCCCAUCAGCUCCCCAGGCAACUGGAAACACCGCCUGAUCCUCAGCGUGGGAAGCUCUGAGACGCGAGAUUAGUGGAGAAGGAACUCCAACCAGACAACAGCGUCUGCCCCGGCUACUGCCGUGCUAAAACACGCGCUCUGCUCCCCACAGCGUGUGGAUCUGGAGGUAACAUCUCUCGGAGGACAAUGGGUGAGGAGGAGUGCCUGCAGGACAGGCUGGCACAGCCGAUGCCCGCACCGGCCCCCGGCCGGCAGGGCGCGGGCGCUGGGUGUGGACGCGGAUGAGCGCGGGUCGGCCCGCGGGAGCCGCUCAGCCGGAACCAGCGGGAGGACACGGGGGCAUCUCCCCGCUACAGGGGACUUCCCGACGGCCAGAAAUACGCACAAACGCCCCCAAGCCCUAAAAGCGCCAACAACAAGGCAGGAUUUACCCUCGUUUAUGCGGCGUGAUUUCAAGGCCGGUGUCCGGCGGGUGACAUGUGAAGUAAAAGAUCUUGCUGGCCAAACAGAAGAAAGCUAAAUGUCCUUCCAGCUGUCAAACUCUGAUCUUCUGUAUACUCAGCACUAGCCUGGGGACGCCCUUCAUCCCACUGCACUUGGUUCUUUACAACUUGACCCCACAUGCUCAGCCACAGAGAGUUAUUGGAGUAUGAAACAUCAGGACAACAAGCAGCAAACAUGGCACCUGCAGUGCCCGAAAAGGCUCCUUGUGGGCAUCUUCCAACAUCUCUGCUGUUGCACGUGGGUAUAUCCAGGAACCUCCCAAAAUGCUCAUGCCAGUACUGCAGACAACCCACAGACUCACACCAGUCUAAGCAGACCAUCAAAAACCAUCAGAAAUGUUUAAACUUAACCAGGUAAAGAGCUUGUGUUUUUAAAGGUGCAAACUUACUGGUUUUAA